rnacentral:rRNA from 1 species
GUCUAUGGCCAUAUCACCCCUGAACAUGGGCACCUGAUCUCAUAUGAUCUUAGAAGCUAAGCAGGGUCAGACUUGGUUAGUCCUUGAAUGAGAGGAAAAAAAAAAUUCUAAAGAGU